UCAUUAAACCAACUUUAACCAACCUUAAAUCAGAACUAGUUUUUGUCGCACAUGAAUGUUAUUGAACACAGCUGAUCAGUGUUUAUUUACAAGUCUGCAAAGAUUGAGGUCAGCAAAAGAUAUUUCGCCUUCACUGUAUCUAAUGACAAUUUAUUGAUUAAGAAAUCACGAUGAAUAUGAAAACGCCUAAAUACCUACUUGACAGUGAUCCACUGUUGACUAAUGUGCCACAAGUUGAAGGUAACAUGGAGGUAACCAAUACUGAGUGGACAGUAGAGGAACUUGAAAGUGCUGAAAGACAGGUUGAACAAGUAUUAAUGGAGGAAGCUUUUAUUGAAGCUUGCUUUGAAGAAAUGCUGGAAGAGGAGGAGUCACAAUGGUACCAUUACACAGUAAUUCCUACACCGAUGACACAAUACACAACUACACAUUACACAACAUAUAUGCCCAACUUACAGUACACAACACAUACAUCAACUCUUCAGUUCCCUAUGCCGAUACCCCAGGGACAAAGUAUUGAUACAAAUAUCAACAGUGUACUUUAUCAAUGUAGUGAACAGUUUUCAAACGAACAGAAAUACUUGUUGACAAGUAAACUGAAUCCUGAGGCACCAGAGUUCAUUCCGCGCAGUGUGGCUUCAUAGCAUAAAUACUCCAGUGGUAUUGUUACUACGCGGGCUUUCAGCAAAGCUGUCUGUGUCUCUAAAAGAAUGAUGCCUCGUCACUCAAGUGCUAAAUUAGUAAUCACCAAAUACAUCCAAGUAUACAAAAAAAACUACAAAAAUAUUGGAAAAAAAAUCAUUUUUUUAGCUUAAAAAAAGGAUGGUUUAAACCGGAAGCAUCGGAUAUGUUAUAGUGAAAUCCAACAUUAUUUGUAUUGUGAUAUAAACAAAUGAUACGAUAUAGGUUCGUACAAGUUGACUACAAGACAAUCUUCUGCAAAGAUGUGAAAACUCACCAAGCGUCACCCUUCCACUACAGUUUUGGUUGCCAUGACUACAACAUAGUUGUCUUGAUAUGCUGGUAAAUUUAAAACAUAAAUUUUAUCAUCUACAUUAAGUACAUAUAUAACAAGGAUGACAUUAUACUAUGGUUUUCAUGUAAUCAAAACAGGCAUUGAUUGCAUGGUGAACAAAAUAUCAUGCAAAUUUAAAUAAGCAUAUAGAUGCCAUGUCUCAGGUUAAUUUUUUGUAAUAUUCAUUUACUGAUACAUGUUUUUAUGAUUGAAAUAUGUUAAUCAAGCCUGUCUGGUUCUGGCAUAUUCAGUUGUGUUAUUUCAUUUCAUACCUAAUAUUAUUGUCGCAUUUGGCGCCAUUGGCAAGCGACAGCGGGAACCCUGUAAUAUACUUAGUAAAGUUAGAUGAAGAACAAUAAAACCCAGAAUUUUGAGAUUUAAAACAUAUCAAAUGGCCUUUAAAAUCAAGAGUAUUAUGUUAGUUAUUAAACUUUUGUUUCAGUUUAUUUAUACCAUAUAAAGAUUCUGAUAAAACAGUUAAUUUAUUUUUUUUGUUACGCUGUAAUCUUUAGCCUGCCGGGUUUGGGUUGGUAUUAUCUACCCAAGUGACCAUUGCUGGCCCAGCCAUGGCAGCUUGCACAUCCAUGCCGCACAUGUUUUGAAAAUUUACUUAAAAAUAAUCAAUAGUUUAGUCCUGAUUGAAAGAUUGACGAGUCCAUAUAUAAUGAUAUUUAGGAUGGCGCAUAUAAGGAUUUAUAUUCUUUUUUUUUUCAAGACAAAUAGACGUUUGAAAGUGUAGGCUAAUUUAAGGCUGUAAAUGUAUUAAGUUUCUCUAGCAUAUGAGUACAGCAAUAAAUGUUCGCAUGUGUACAGGUGAUAAAAGAGAGAUAAAUCCUAAUAUUUCUUACCCAACAAUGUCACUUUUAUAAUUUGUUUGUGCUGUUUUUAUUAGAAAAGUGCCAUAAACCAUAAUAAGGUGACCUAUACAUCUCAAAAUUUAAGUCUGUCUUGUUAUUAUGAAAAACAUUUUCAUUUCCUAUGUCUGUGUAGCAGUACAGUGAUUUUUUUAAAAACAUUUUUUUUUUUGCAAUACAUUAAAUUGGAAAAUUUCAGUGUGGUAAAGUACCGUAAACAUUAGAAAAUCAAACAAUUUUAACAAAGCUAUUAACAAAAUAAUUUAAAUAUUUGCUUUCCCCCCAGAUAAUAAUUUAGUAUUUUAUAUAUAUAAAAGGUGUAUUUUAAAAACAAAAUUACAUUUAAUAGGUAUAAAAUAUAUUGGUUGGAAAAGAUGAAAUUUGGAGUUUUCAACAGAUAUAUGGUUUGGUAAAAAGCCUAUUUGACAUAAUUCUAUUCAGCCUUUGAAUUAGACACAUCAGACUCUGUAUGUAGCUAAUUGUGUUAAAAUGCUCAUAAAUUGGACAUAAUACAAGUAAUAAGUUACCUGGUUGUCAUGACAUCUGCAUUUAACUUUAAGGUUUUUUAUUGUGUGCACCAUUUUAUUACGGUAUUAGACAAUGUGUUGGUCCUAAUAUCAUUCCUUAAAUGCUUUCUGGUUUAAACAAAAAAUUAAAUAAAAAAGACAUAAAAAUGCUUUUAAAAAUACCAAAAAAAAAUUAUGAAAUAAUUGAUGUUGUAUUUAAAAAAAAAUUGUAUUGGAUAAAGAAAUGUAUUUAAACUUGUAUUUCUUAUUGAUUGUUUAAAAUCUACAGAUUUAUUUUGCUGAAUAUCUUUCUUCUUAUUUAACAGUGACUUUUUAUUCAAAGAAUAAUUAAUGUGAAUAAAAGCACAUUUUUGAAUGCAGUAUGGAAAUAAUUAAUAAAAUUGAGGACAGUAUGAAAUUAUAAGCUGUCAAAAUAGCUUUAAUAGAUCUGAAGAUUUUAAUGGGUAAACUAAUUUUUUUCUUUUCACAUAUUUACUUAUUAUUGUUGACUUGAAAAAAAAAUGAAAAAAAAAAAUAUUGCAAAAAAAAAAUUAAAAUAGACUGUUCUAAGGUUUUCAGCUAUGAAUGUUACAUGCCAUAGGUAAAAUUGUAUUUUCAGAGGUUUUUCAACUGUUGUACUAGUAUCUAAACAGUCAGUCAGUUAUUAUAACGUGUUACAUUGAGCUUAUAUACAUGUAUGUCAGUAUAUUUUUUCUCCACAUUUUGUUUAUUUUGCCCCAUUAAAGGCCUACUCUUUGCACCCCCCUUUUCCUCUUUAUUUUUAUGCCCUUCUCUAAGGGGAACUUUUUUUCUUGAUCAACUUUUUUCUUGGUCUACAUAUUUAUGUAUGAUCCUGGGGGCUUCAUACUUUAAAAUAACUUUCUUUUGAUGUAUUAAAUUUAAAAUGUGACGCUAGUCACGCUUGCCCUUUAUUAACAUUUACCUUUAAGGUCAAAUUAAAAAAAUAUGUAUAUAGAAAUUUGACAUUUUUUUUGCAUUUCAUUUCGAUGUACUCGAAUAUGGCAUUAACUCUUAAAGGAUCUUUGUCCUGAGGUCAGUUUGUCAAAAUUCAAGACGUUUCAGCAUAACUUAUUAUUUGAUAAACAUAGUUUUCAGACUAUUUAUUUUUUUUUUUAGCUCACCUGUCACAAAGUGACAGGGUGAGCUUUUGUGAUCGCUUUUCGUCCGGCGUCCGUCCGUCCGUCGUCCGUCCGUCGUCCGUCGUCCGUCCGUAAACUUUUGCUUUAAAUGACAUCUCCUCAUAAACCACUGAGCCAAUUUCAUCCAAACUUCACAGGAAUGUUCCUUUGGUGGUCACCUUUAAAAAUUGUUCAAAGAAUUUAAUUCCAUGCAGAACUCUGGUUGCCAUGGCAACCGAAAGAAAAAUCUUUAAAUAUCUUCUUUUAAACAACCCUAAGAGCUAGAGCUUAGAUAUUUGGCAUGAAACAUCUUCUAGUGAGUGUCUACCAAGUUUGUUCAAAUAAAAGCCCUGGGGUCAAAAUUGGCCCCGCCCCAGGGGGUCAUUGAUUUUCCCAAUAUGCAUAUAGUAAAAACUUAAAAAAUCUUCUUUUAAUGAACUGUAAGAGCUAGAGCUUAGAUAUUUGGCAUGAAACAUCUUCUAGUGAAUGUCUACCAAGUUUGUUCAAAUAAAAGCCCUGGGGUCAAAAUUGGCCCCGCCCCAGGGGGUCAUUGAUUUUCCCUAUAUGCAUAUAGUAAAAACUUAAAAAAUCUUCUUUUAAAGAACCGUAAGAGCUAGAGCUUAGAUAUUUGGCAUAAAACAUCUUCUAGUAAAUGUCUACCAAGUUUAUUCAAAUAAAAGCCCUGGGGUCUAAAUUGGCCCCGCCCCAGGGGGUCAUUGAUUUUCCCUAUAUGCAUAUUGUAAAAACUUAAAAAAUCUUCUUUUAAAGAACUGUAAGAGCUAGAGCUUAGAUAUUUGGCAUGAAACAUCUUCUAGUGAAUGUCUACCGAGUUUGUUCAAAUAAAAGCCCUGGGGUCCAAAUUGGCCCUGCCCCAGGGGGUCAUUGAUUUUCCCUAAAUGCAUAAAGUAAAAACAUAAAAAAUCUUCUUUUAAAGAACCCAAAGAGCUAGAGCUAAGAUAUUUGGCAUGAAACAUCUUCUAGUGAAUGUCUACCAAGUUUGUUCAAAUAAAAGCCCUGGGGUCAAAAUUGGCCCCGCCCCCGGGGUCAUUGAUUUUCCCUAUAUGCAUAUAGUAAAAACUUAAAAAAUCUUCUUUUAAAGAAUCGUAAGAGCUAGAGCUUAGAUAUUUGGCAUGAAACAUCUUCUAGUGAAUGUCUACCAAGUUUGUUCAAAUAAAAGCCCUGGCGUCAAAAUUAGCCCCGCCCCAGGGGGUCAUUGAUUUUCCUUAUAUGCAUAUAGUAAAAACUUAUUAAAUCUUCUUUUAAAGAACCCAAAGAGCUAGAGCUAAGAUAUUUAGCAUGAGACAUGUUCUAAUGGGUGUCUACCAAAUAUGUUCAAAUAAAAGCCCUGGGGUCAAAACUGGCCCCGCCCCGGGGGUCAUUGAUUUUCCUUAUAUACAUAGCAAAAACUUAAAAAUCUUCUUUGAAAAAACCCAAAUAACUAGAGUUUAGAAAUUAAGCAUGAAACAUCUUUAAGUAAAUACCUACAAAGUUUGUUCAAAUAAAAGCCCAGGGGUCAAAACUGGCCCUGCCCGAGGGGUGUCAUUGUUUUUAACUAUAUGUGUAUAGUAAAAACUUAAAAAAUCUUCUUUUAAAAAACCCAAUGAGCUAGAACUUAGAUGUUUUGCAUGAAACAUCUUCUUAUGGGUGUCUACCUGAAGUCUGUUCAAAUAAACAAAUAAAAGCCCUUGGGUAAAAAUUGGGGGGGGGGGGGGGCUAUAUACAGGUGAGCGACCUCAGGGCCAUCAUGGCCCUCUUGUUUUAAUAUAUCCUGUUUUAACAGCGAAAUGAAAAACUUUUAAAUGGUAAGUCAUUGUCAGAUACCCACCCUUCAUUGACUUGUAAUCAUGUUAAUUGUCAGGGCGUUGCUAUCCGACAAUGAUGUAGAGUAGGACUGGUGAUAAAAUACAAUUGAGCCGCGUCACGACAAAACCAACAUAAUGCGUUUGCAACCAGCACGGAUCCAGACCAGCCUGCGCAUCCACGCAGUCUAAUCAGGAUCCAUGCUGUUCUCUUACCAACUCUAUAACAAGUAGAGAAACUGAUAGCAAACAGCAUGGAUCCUGAUCAGACUGGUCCACUUUUGCGCAGGCUGGUCUGGAUCCAUGAUGGUCGCAAACACAUUACGUUGGUUUUGUCAUGACGGGGCUCAAUUAUUCAUGAUUUUUAUGCCACCGCAGCAUCUGCGAUGCGGUGGCAUAUAGCGAUUCACCUGUGUGUGUGUGUGUGUGUGUGUGUUUGUUUGUGUGUGUGUGUGUGUUAUAUAGAUUAUAUAGUGAACUUAAAAAAUCUUCUUGUGAAAAACCACUAGUCCAAUUUCAACCAAACUUGGCAGGAUUGAUCCUUGGGUGAAGUGGUUCCAAAGUUGUUCAAAGAAUUGCAUUCCAUGCAGAAAUCUGGUUGCCAUGGCAACCACAAGGAAUUAAAAGAAUAAAUUUAAAAAAUCUUCUUGUAAAGACCCAAAAGGCCUAGAGCUUAGAUAUUUUGCAUAAGGCAUUGUCUGGUACACCUCUACCAAGAUUGUUCAAAUUAUAGCCCUGGGGUCAAAAUCGGCCCCGCCCCGGGGGUCAUUGAUUUUCACUAUAUGUACAUAUAGUAAAACCUUAAAAUACCUUCUUGUAAAGACCCAAAAGGCCUAGAGCUUAGAUAUUUUGCAUAAGGCAUUGUCUGGUAGACCUCUACCAAGAUUGUUCAAAUGAUAGGCCUGGGGUCAAAAUUGGCCCGGCCCCAGGGGUCAUUGAUUUUCACUAAAUGUACAUAUAGUAAAAACUUAAAAUACCUUCUUGUAAAGACCCAAAAGGCAUAGAGCUUAGAUAUUUUGCAUAAGGCAUUGUCUGGUACACCUCUACCAAGAUUGUUCAAAUGAUAGCCCUAGGGUCAAAAUCAGCCUGCCCCGGGGGUCAUUGAUUUUCACUAUAUGUACAUAUAGUAAAAACUUAAAAUACCUUCUUGUAAAGACCCAAAAGGCCUAGAGCUUAGACAUUUUGCAUAAGGCAUUGUCUGGUAGACCUCUACCAAGAUUGUUCAAAUUAAAGCACUGGGGUCAAAAUCAGCCCCGCCCCGAGUGUCAUUGAUUUUCACUAUAGGUACAUAUUGUAAAAACUUAAAAUACCUUCUUGUAAAGACCCAAAAGGCCUAGGGCUUAGAUAUUUUGCAUAAGGCAUUGUCUGGUAGACCCUUACCAGGAUUGUUCAAAUUAUAGCCCUGGGGUCAAAAUCGGCCCCGCCCCGGGGGUCAUUGAUUUUCUCUAUAUGUACAUAUAUUCAAAACUUAAAAUACCUUCUUGUAAAGACCCAAAAGGCCUAGAGCUGAGAUAUUUUGCAUAAGGCAUUGUCUGGUAGACCUCUACCCAGAUUGUUCAAAUUAUAGCCCUGGGGUCAAAAUCGGCCCCGCCCGGUGGGGGGUCAUUGGUUUUCCUUAUAUGUAUAUAGUAAAAACUUAUAGUAAAACUUUAAAAAAAUUUCUUCUAGCAAUUGACAAAUGAUAGAGGUUAGAUAUUUUGCAUGAAACAUUGUGAAGUGAACUUCUAGCAAGAUUGUUCAAAUUAUAGCCCUGGGGUCAAAAUUGCCCCCGCCCCAGGGGUCAUUGAUUUUCAAUAUAUAUAUAUAGUAAAAAAUCUUAUUGUCUGAAGGUACAAGGCUUAGAGCUUUAAUAUUUGUUAAAUGACAUCAUCAAUAGGAACUCUACCAAAGUUGUUCAAAUUUUGCCUCUAGUGUCAAAAUUAGCCCCGCCCCGGGGGCCAUAGGUUUUCCUUAAAUGUAUAUAGUAAUAACUUAAAAAAUCAUCUUCUUUAAAUUUAGAAAGACUAGAGUUAAGAUAUUUGCAUGAAACAUUAUGUAGUGAACCUCUAGCAAGAUUGUACAAAUUAUAGCCCUGGGGUCAAAAUUGGCCCCACCCCCAGGGGUCAUUGAUUUUCACUAUGUACAUAUAGUAAAAAAUUAAAAAGUCCUCUUGUCUGACGGUACAAGGCUUAAAGCUUUGAUAUUUGGUAUAUACUAUCAUCUAUGGGUCCUCUACUAAAGUUGUUUUAAUUAUGCCCCUAGUAUUAAAAUUGCCUUGCCCCAGAGGCGAUAUUUUCCCUUAUAUGUAUAAAGUAAAAAAAUUGAAAAAUCUUCUUCUCUGAAUUGACAAAGGCUAGAGGUUAAAUAUAUGGCAUGAGACUUUGCGAAGUGAACCUUUACCAAGAUUGUUCAAAUUAUAGCCCUGGGGUCAAAAUUGGUUCCGCCCAGGGGGUCAUUGAUUUUCAUUAUGUACAUAUAGUAAAAAAAUAAAAAAUAUUUUUGUCUGAAGGUACAAGGCAUAGAGCUUUGAUGUUUGCUAUAUAAAAUCAUUUAUAGGUCCUCUACUAAAGUUGUUCAAAUUUUUCCCCUGGUGUCAAAAUUGGCCCUGCCCGGGGGCAGUGAUUCUCAUUAUGUACACAUAGUAAAAACAGAAAAUAAAACAAAAUAAUGUUUUCUGAAUGGGAGAAAGCUACAGCUUAGAUAUUUGACUUGAAAUGAUGUUUGGUGGACCUGUAUCAAGAUUGUUUUGAAUUAAACCCUUGGUCCAAAAUUUUGCCUUGCCCAAGGGGACAGUGACCUACUUUCUUGUCCUUUGAUGUACAGCAAUGAAAUUUUGACCAUGUGCACAGUUUUAGUUGUAAAAUUGAACUUUGAUAUCAGGUGACCUAGAUUUCGUUGAUGUGACCUUCUUUCUUGUCCUUUGAUGUACAGCUAUGAAAUUUGAACCAUGUGCACAGAUUAAGAUGUAAAGUGAACUUUUUUAUUCAGCUGACCUAGAUUUUGACAAAGUGUCUUACUGUGUUGUCCUUUUGAUGUAGUCAUGAAAUUUAGGCUGUGUGAAAUAUGACCUUCACCACCAAAUUCACUAGACUCAAGUGCAUUGAUAUAUUCCUACUUUGAUCUUUUUUUGAGUUAACAACAGAUUUAACCACAAAUCUGUUAAUAAGAAUAAGAUAGGUCAUGGAUCUAUGCUUUAUGACAAUCUUCAAAAUUGUAUAGAAACAAAAAAAAUCUGUUCCUACACUACUAUUUGGUGUUGUAUUAAUGUGGUGGCAUAGCAUUUUUCUCAAAUGCAAUCUUGUUCUUGAUUAAUUUUGAAUUUAUAUCAUGUUUGCAAGAUUUCAAUGUGGACUUCAUCAUUUUUGAACAAACUAUAUGUACUUGUAUCAAGCUAUAGGCAGUUGUGUUAUUAAAAUAUAGUAUUGAUUUAUGUACUGCAAUGUAGUUAAAUGUGUGAUCAAUAGAACAAUGUAACUUUUGACAAAUUGCUCAUUUUUGUAAGUGUUUUUUUUUUUUUCAUAUCAGAGAAUGGUAAUUAACUGGUCUUUUUAUUGAGGCCACCUUGGCAUGUGUCCAGUAUACAGAGGAAAAAAAAAAGAUUUUUAUAAUUUCUAAUCAGUUUUCAGAAAAUUUUGUUAAAUGUGAUAUUAUAUGGAAUUUCAAAGAAUAAUUGAAGCUAUUGACAUUACCUGCUUGACAGAAGCAACUUCAGCAGCUUAGGUAAACCUUUUGGUUAAAUUUUUUAUUUAAUGGCCAAUAACUUGAAAGCUAUUGCAUUGUGUGGCUGCACCUUGAUUUAUUCUACCUGUCACACCGAUUCAAAAAGUCAAAGGUCAAGGACACUGGGAACCAUGAAAACAGAACAUAAAAAUGAACAUUUAAUCAUAGUGCAUUGAAUUAGGAACUUCAAACUUGGUAUAUGGUUGCAUCUUGAUGAGUUAUAUCUGCUAUGCCCAUUUCAGGUCAAAGGUCAAGGUCACUAAGACAAAAUAAGACAUAAAACUUGCCAUUUAAUCAAUGCAUAUCAAUAACCGUCAUUGGCCAAAAACACUGGUACUUGUAAAAUUAAUCAAGAAAAAAUAUGACCAUACCAAUUUGUGGGCAAAAUGUCAAAGGUCAAGGUCAAUGACAUCUGAAUCAAAUUGUCAAAAAUGUGCAGUUUACUAUUAUCCAGCACUGAGAAAAGUGGAGCGAGCUGCUCCUUAGAUAGCUCUUGUUUUUGUUAUAUCAUAUUUAGAAUGUGUUACAUUCUUUCUCAUUUAUUGAUUACAACUGGGGAUUUUAAGUUGUGUGAUAUAAAUGCAUACAUUUUCUGCAUUUAUCUGUGUGGGAAAUUACACUUAUUCUCCAUGAAAGAGAUGCUAUUUACAUUCAACCCUUUACCUGCAGGGUCUGGUAGUAAAUAACCUUGCCACACGUAUAGAGCCUGACUUUUCUGCACAUCUGUGCAGUCUGUCAUUGCUCUAUACUGUAGGUAGCUCAAUUUUUAUAUGAUUUAUUUAAUUUUUAAUAUAACUCUGAUAUUUGAAAUCCUUGAAUUUUCUAAUGGACUAUUUAAAAUUCAAAUGCAGGACAGAUCUGGACUGUAUUUCAUAGAAAAUCCGAAGUGUAUCCUAAGUCCUAGAAGUUAUGACAAACUUAAGACUAACUUAAAGACCAUUUCAAUUAAUACAUUUAUCUUCAGUUAAAGUUUUAGACUUUUAUUUAAUUCAUUCUCCUGAGGAAAGUUACAAAAUACAAUGGCAUGCUCUUCACUUUGCAAUAUGUAAAUGUUUAUUUGCAUUGCUAUUCAAAAAUCGAAGACUCUUAACAUAAGAGUCAUAAGAAAUAACAAUUUUUUUAAAACGAAAAUUGUCUUAGUUUGGUCCUAAGACAUAUUUUAGACUCGGGACUUUCCAUGAAAUGCAACUCUGUUAUUCAUAGGGGGCAGGUUAAGGGUUAAUUCAGCUCAUCUGACAUGCACUUUUUUGUUGUUUUUUUACCUGAUUAAACCAUUGUGCUAUUUUCUGUAUAUUUUACUUGUAUGUUUCAAUAGAGAAUUAUUGAUAGAGAUUUUAUUAUUUACUUGUAUUUUUUUUGUGCAUGUUGAAAAAAUAAAAUAUAAAAAAUGAAA